rnacentral:lncRNA from 1 species
CUUCUCUGACUUCCCCCAUCCAAGUCAGUGCUUUCCUCCUCUAGGUGCCAGGUAACUUGAGCAAAUACCUCCGGUGAGAAUUUAUCACACAGGAUUGCAAUUUCUCUUGCUGGCUCAGGAGGUGCCUGGAGACAGGGAGUGUGUCUUGCUCACCUAGGUGCUUUUAGUGCCCUGCGCACAGCCUGAAAAUCACAGGCUUUAUGGCACCUUGGAAGAAACAAAAGCUUUACAGAGAAAAGGCUGGCUUGGCAGAGGGACCGGCUCCCUCCUCAAAUUACGGUUCUAUGUUCUGGUGCUUUGCUUUUUUUAAGCAGACAAAACACUUAAAGAUGCUAUAUUGAAGCUUCCUCUCUACUUUUCUCUCCUCCUCCAUUUCUUUAAUAAUUCUGGAAAAAUGAGUAGUUACAAAAUUAUAAAUGCAAUUUGCUUUGCUUGGUGCUUCAUUAGGCCCUCCCUCCCUCCUCUUCCUCUUCCUCCCCCCUCACUGGCUCUCUCUCUCUCUCUCUCUCUGUCUCUCUCUCUCUCCCUCUCCACCCACCUUUAUCCCUGAUGUAAUGUCUCUGAGUUUUUCUGGCUCCAGCUGUCCUCUCCUUGAAGCAGAAAGAAAGUGUGUGUGGGGGGGAGUUUGGGAAGAUAAUCUCGAUGUUAUUCAUAAGGCCACAUUUCGUUCCAGAAGCUUUGUUGGAUCCACAGUCGUGCAAACCUUCCACUCUUUCCCUCUCUUGGAGGAUCAAAUUUACAGUUCUCUUCUGGCUGUUCUUCAUGAUGGAGAAGAGCAAAGGCAAAGGCAAAGAAAUCGGAGAAAAACAUGGUUGAACUUUUCUUAACCCAGAAGUUAUUGCAGCUUUUACAUGAAAUUUCAAGCCAGAACUUCCAUGGGCGAGGCCGACUGCCUAUGCCUAGGAAAGCUCCCCGGACAGGAGUCUCCUCCACUGAGGUUCUGGUGGAAGGUGGCCAUUUCAAAUGAUGUCCAGGAAAUCUGACAUUGGGGCUCAGGCUCUGGCCUCAGCACCCCAUUAAUUAGUCUAACGUUCAUGGGUGUGACAGAGGCAGAAAAUAAAUCGUGUCUUUCAGUAGACCAGUGUUCUGCUGCUCUUGGAAUAGCAUUUUUCAUGGCGGUUUUGGGGAAGGAGAUGUGUGGGAAGACCCAUUGCAAAAAUAGCUACAGUCCUUAAACCCAUAGAGUUGGAAAGCAGAUUAGUGUUUGUCUUGGACUGGGGGUAUGGGGGAAAUUGGAGGGAAAUAGGAAGUGAUUGCUAAUGGGUAUGGAGUUUCUUUCUGGGGUUAAGAAAAUAUUCUAAAAUUGAUUGUGGUGAUGGAUGCACAACUCUGUGAAUAUACCAAAAACCAUUAAAUUGUACCCUUUAAAUGGGGGAAUUCUAUGGUAUGUGAAUUAUAUCCCAAUUUAAGCUGUUACAUUGAAAAGAAAAUAACCACAAUCCUUCAGUCUUUCUGUAUCUGUGCCUUUGCAUUGUGACUUUGCAGUUCUUCCCAUCUCUUUCCCCACCUGUUGACUCUGGGACACCUGAUGACUUUUGUUGGCCCAUGGGGUAUGGCCAAAGUGACCAUAUGCCAGUUUGGAACCUUAGUUCUUCAGAGGCCUUGCAUGCUCCUGCUAGCUCUCUUAUUUUGCUGUCUUUACUCUGAAAACUAGCCUGGGCUAGCCUGCUGGAAGAUGAGAGACCUGUGUAGCAAAGCUGAGUCAUCCCAGCUAUGUCCACCAUAGCCCACCUGUUAGUUGCCUUCAGAUACAAGAGAAAAAAUGGUUGCUGUUUUAUGCUAAGCACUGGGGCUAUUCUUUCUGCAGCAAUGGCUGACUGAUACAUAUGGCAAUCUCUCUGAGAUUCUAGAAAUGUAGGAGAAGAGUAUGCACAGCUUACUCUGGUUACCCACAAGGCCAAUAAUUUUGCUCAUAUUUUCAGUCUCUGACCAGAACUUUCCAAUGCUUUCAUUUUUCCUAUGAAACCUUCUUUCCUCUCCAUAGUAG